rnacentral:rRNA from 1 species
GAUGAACGCUGGCGGCGUGCCUAAUACAUGCAAGUCGAGCGAACAGAUGAGGAGCUUGCUCCUCUGACGUUAGCGGCGGACGGGUGAGUAACACGUGGAUAACCUACCUAUAAGACUGGGAUAACUUCGGGAAACCGGAGCUAAUACCGGAUAAUAUAUUGAACCGCAUGGUUCAAUAGUGAAAGACGGUUUUGCUGUCACUUAUAGAUGGAUCCGCGCCGCAUUAGCUAGUGGGUAAGGUAACGGCUUACCAAGGCAACGAUGCGUAGCCGACCUGAGAGGGUGAUCGGCCACACUGGAACUGAGACACGGUCCAGACUCCUACGGGAGGCAGCAGUAGGGAAUCUUCCGCAAUGGGCGAAAGCCUGACGGAGCAACGCCGCGUGAGUGAUGAAGGUCUUCGGAUCGUAAAACUCUGUUAUUAGGGAAGAACAAAUGUGUAAGUAACUAUGCACGUCUUGACGGUACCUAAUCAGAAAGCCACGGCUAACUACGUG